UUAGAAUUAUCUAACCCUACAUUACUGUGACUAUUUAACUUGUAAAUGAUACCCUUAUCACUAAUAGCACUAGAGCCUCAUCUAAUCCAUGCAUGCAUAGGUAGCCAUUUUCUCAUAUUUUCUUAUAAUUUGCAAAGUGUCCUUCCGAAUCAAUCUGAAAGCAUUAUUUAUGCAAUUUACCAUUUGUAUGGAUCUUUGCAAAAAAAGUGCCAUGUAUCAAAAAUCAAAGUGUUCUGUUCUGAAAAGUGAGGAGACGAUGUAAAAAGGGAAUGUGCCUGCUGUUUUGCACGGGUUACUAUGGUGAUUUUUUACUUUAAGUACUUUGUGCCAUUUUUAAGAACAUGACCCUUUGAUAAAUCUUCACUCUAGUGUCCUUCUAAUUCAUGUCACAUUAUUUAUCUAUGGUAGAUUUAUUGUAGUGGAAAUUAUUGUAAAUUAUAUUCAAUUAUUUUUGCAACUACUUCUUUAAUUUGUAUAUUACAUUAAUAACACUGAGGUCUGUUUUAGAAACUGAAGUGCCUCUAGAGUUUUUCUGUUUUUCAUUUUCAUACCUAUCUUUCGAAGUUCAUAGUGCACUUCAGAAAUCGUGAUCUCAUCUAAGACUUCCAGAUCCAAUAAGUGCAGUAGUCCUAGCGCCAUAUAAGUAUGACUUUUGAAAUCAAACCCAGCUACAACCAAACCCCAAGUGUUAAUUACUCUACGUGAACACAAAAUAACACUAACUCAAAACCAAAAACUGGGGAGUGCACUAUUAUUAUUGUAAAUAAAAACACAAUACCAAAAAAUGGACUAUGCUUAACAAUCUUCCAUCUUCCAUGUGCAAAGUACAAAUAGAGCAGAGAAUUCAAACAUAAUUGAGAAAACAAAAUCAGACCCAUUUGGUAUCUGAUGAGAAUUUAACUUAAUCUUUACCUGUUAGAGCAUAUGUUUCCAUACAGACACAUAGAGCGAUAUCCUCAGGAUCAACUAAUCUCUUGAUUACGCUAGAUUUAUAUCCCAUGUUCUUCUUGACGCAAUACAUGUUAUGCCAUUUAAAGGUUAAGCGGGGUAGAGACAUCUGUAUAAAACGUAUUGGACGGCAGGUCUCACUUUAUCUGUGUAGCCAAAAGAUUAAAAAAUUAGCAGGAAAAUAAUGUGUGCUUGCUAGGGGCCCAGGCAAUAUAUCCUGAAAAAAUCACUUAAGGACUGGGUAGAAGUAUGUCUUCAUUCACCGUAUGCCUGUUAUAUAGAUUAUGAUCUUGUUUGACAAAUGUAGAUGUACAUGCUCUUUCUUUUUUUUUUUUUUUUUUUUGGAAGAAGAUAUUACUUCCCUUAUCUACAGUUUUAAAUUAUUAUUUUUUUCCAGUGAGAAUUUAAUGUACUGGGAUUGAACUCUUGUGUUCAGCCUGGGUGUUGAAUAGCGAGAGUGAUAAUAGUGUUUCUCUCACAUACAUCAACUUAUUCUCAAUUUGACCGUAGACAAGUAACAAAGCCGGUGUGACAUGAAAAAUUGAAUUCCUCCAGGCUGACAAAUAGUAAUGUCUGGUCUGUGUUAAAAGACUUUCUCACAAAGUAGGGCAUGCAGAAACCAAAUCAUUGCUAACCUUUUAGACCAACAUUUCCUUAUCACCUAUCUCCAUAUCUUUUUAAUCUAUGUGUUAUUAUAUAAAGAAAAACAUUUUGAUCGGAAAUAAUACCAAGUGUUUAAACCUGCACAUCAUCCGGCAUCUUUGUCAUGAUUACAACAUUCCUUUCUUAAUUUAUAAGCCAACAUGGAUGUGAAAUAGACAAAGAUUAUCAGUAUGGUCAAUGAGUUACAGACGUUCCUUUUAAGAGAGCAAUAAAAAAUUAUGACAAAGUGUUUACUAUUCAAGAACUAAUAGCAUGUUGCUUGACUCAGUUGUUUUAUUUGUGAAAAGCAGAUGUCAAAUUGUAGAAUAUUACUCAAUAUCAAGUCCUAGAUAUGAAUAUAUAAUUAAAAGAGACUGUAACCUGGUUCCAAAUUAAAUCAGUAUGUAGCCAAUUAAGUGGAAUGCCUCUUCGGAGUCCAGUUAUUGUCCUUGGUUCAUGUAUAAAAGUACAAAUAUUGUAAAAUUGGCAAAUCAACUGUUCCACCUCCCAUCAAUAUUAAUUUACUCAUUUCCAAACCUGACAUAGACAUUUAUCUUUAAUUUAACAUACUAAGUCACUGUAUACAAAAAUGAUGUAGAAGAUGUACUCAUUCUACAAAUCGUCAGGUUAAAACAAUAACAUUAGUUGGUUUUGGUCUUGGUACACACGAUACCCUCAGUUUUAUGAUGUGUCCCUACUAGGCCGAGUAAACAAUCAGGGAAAUUUUUCAACAAUUUGGGAUAGGGUGAAAGAUUACCCUAUGGCUUUCAAUAACUAGAAUGCUGCAUUCCUGGUUUCAGUACAUUUGUAGGUCAGUACUAAGUUGUGAGGGUUAUAUCAUACCAUGAGACUGAUGAUGAUUGUUGGCUCAGGAAACCUUGCACACACUUAGCCAAGAAAUGAGUACAUUUGACAUGGACAUUGUUUCCUGACAAAACUGCAUUAUUAUCCUUAAGCAGUCGAUUGUUGGCAAAUUCUAGUUAAGUUAAAACAGCUAUAUUAAGAACCAUCUCACCUGCCCCGGAAAAUAAAGGAAAUGCUUGGGCCACAAGAAGUCGUAUGCAUACAGUACGUUUUGCAACGGUGUCUGUUCUCAUUUUUGCGUGUUGAAAUAUCUCACUUAAAAUGGGAGAAACAUAAGUUAUUUCUUAUUUUCUGCUUCAAGUAAUCAUGUAGAAAGUUGGACCGGGCAUAUAUGAAAGGGUAUCAAGCUUGAGAAAGGCUCUUGUGGGAGCCGGUGGUUUUCCAGUAUAAGCUGGCCUAAACACCAGCUAUAAUUGCCCGGUCCAACUUUCUUCAUGAUUAUUGACAUGUUACAAUGGUCCACCCUGGUCUGUAGGCACCACGGAUGGAGAUUUUAGAGAGUGACACUACACUUUAUGUAUAUUUCUGCUUCAAGUAUCACUGCAACUUGAAUCACUUCACAACAGUAAUGCAUAGUUUCAUUUUAUUUCAAUUUAAGCUACUUUUAGUACAUUUAGUUGGAAUUACCAUUUAAAGAUCUGUAAAUGCUUCCGUAUGGCAGUGACCAUUUUUAAAUUGCAUCAACAUUUCAAAUCCACCAGUGACAUUUCCUGCUUGCAGAGAACAUGUGAUGUCACUAGCCAAUUUAAAUGUGACGUAACGUAGCUCACAGCUUUCCGUGGAGUAAAAAACAGGAAAUUGUUGUUCGAUCUGUCUAAUGAUGCUUUGUGCAUUCUAUAUAAAAAGUGAGCUGGACAUAAUUUAUUUGAUAUUUAUAAUAAAAACUGCUUAGAAGAAGAUGAUGAUGGUGAUGACAAAUUAUCAACAUAAGAUAGACAGUUUUUGGAAUUCAACCGAAUGACACAUGCAUAUAUAUAUGAUGACAGAGCCACUGUAAGACAAAAAAUAUAUUAAGUGUUACAUGUGUUCUUUAACAUGUUCAGUUUGCAUGUCUCUCUAAAUACGUACUUUUAACAUUUAAAAAAAUUUGUGCACACAUUCAGCUAAAGAUGAUUUGCUCGCCUAAGAGUUAUUUGAGUACUAAGCAAAUGUUGCGGGAAUUGAGUGAUGUGUGUUUACUGAUAUUACCUAAUGAUGACAACCAGUUAUGAUUUAUUACUGCACAAACUUGUAAAUUAAUUUUAAGUGAGCACAAUGCAUUUAACUGUGCCAAAGUGUGGUGGUCAAACACUGCCAUAACAUUUCUGUUAAACACAAAUGUUACAAUGGUCUGUUUUAUUGAAUUGUGCCAUACUUAAAUUGAUCUAAAUAUAAAACUAAUAGAGAGUCUCUGUUUGUAAAAGAAAACCUGGUCAUUAUUCACAUUAAUCCAUAAUGAUAGCUUUACAGCUUUGUUAUAAUCUGAUGCAUUUUGUUAUACGGUCUAUUUUUUUACGUUCAUUUUAAUAGCAUCAUUAAUCCAUUGGAACACACAUUGACAAUUGCUGCAAAUCAAGUGAUUAUUCUACAGAUUGGGUUAUUUUUUUAAUAGACAUUGCUGCAACAAACAAUCAUUAUUUCUGCUUUUUAUUGAAAGAUAUCAGUUUCAAUCUUAUUUGUGUGAUGGUAGAGGGUAACUCAAGCAAUACUCAAGUGUUAGUGAGUCGAAAACACAGAAUAAAGCUCAUGGGCGUCAUUUAAAGAUCAUUCCAAAAAUUACACAAAUGACCUCUUACUAGUUUCAAUAGUAGUUUCUUAUUUAUAAGAAUGUUGUCCCAGAACUAUUAUAGGUUCAACUAUAGAGCCAUGUUCUCAACCAGAAUGCCUUACCUAUGAAAAAAUAUCAGUGUCAUAAAAUCAAAAAUGCCGCGCUUAAUGAAAAACGUUUAAUUUUGUUCAGCCCUAACCUUUACCUAAAAAUACAAUGUAAUAUUAAGUAGUCACCCUAGUUAGAUUCUGACUCAUGACACACAUUCAAAUUUUAACACUCUAGGGUUUUCACAGUGACAUUUUAUUUUAUUUAUCUUUUUUAUAUAGUGUCAUUCUUUCAAGUCUAGUUUCUGUCUUCCAUUUAGCAUAAAGUUCAUGAUCACACGUAAAUUUCACAAUCACCCUACAGGUUCACUUAAUCAGCCAAACGUUUUGUAGAAAUACUGUAAAAUGAUAUUAUUCUUUUUAUUAAUCAUAGUAUAUUAACAUUAAUAAUUGUGCUAAAUGACAGCGUUAUUCAAUGUUUUCACUUUUACUAGUCUCAUUUUCUAUUUUUUGUUAUCUGGAAUUUAAAUGCGUUGUUUUAUGAAUUAUUCUGCUUGUUAAUUUAAUGACUAAAUGGUAUGUACAAUAUUUAUUAAUGAACUGACACUGUAGAGCAUAGUGUAUAUUUUUCUAAUAAACGGAUUGUUUUAAAAGACAAGGAUCUGUGUUUUUUUGUUUUUUUUUUAAAUUACCGUAGCUCAUGUUUAUCCACUAGAUGGCAGUACCUUACCUACAUC
rnacentral:lncRNA from 1 species